rnacentral:rRNA from 1 species
CGUAGGAUCCGAGCGUUGUCCGGAUUUACUGGGUGUAAAGGGUGCGCAGGCGGACUGGUAAGUCAGAGGUGAAAUCUCGUCGCUCAACGACGAAACUGCCUUUGAUACUAUCAGUCUUGAAUCCGGUAGAGAUCUGUGGAAUUCCGAGUGUAGCAGUGAAAUGUGUAGAUAUUCGGAAGAACACCAGUGGCGAAGGCAGCAGAUUGGGCCGGUAUUGACGCUCAGGCACGAAAGCAUGGGGAUCAAACAGGAUUAGAGACCCCUGGUAGUCCAUGCCCUAAACGAUGUUCACUUGAUGUCUGCCCUCAGGGUAGGUGUCGAAGCUAACGCGAUAAGUGAACCACCUGGGGAGGUACGCUCGCAAGGGUG